rnacentral:lncRNA from 1 species
GGCCUUUUUGCACAUCAGAUAUACAGUCUUGUCAAGCGUUCAAGGGAAAAUUACUCCUCCUGACCCGCCAAGUAGAAGCCAACGAUCUCACCCACCUUCCGACACUACUAGUUUGUUGCCUAUCAGAUGACCAGCGGGAGAAGUAUACAUCAUUGCUGCGUGCUUUGAACGGGGCUGAGUCACUGGCUUACUGGUGCUCUUCCAUGCCAUCCCUGGGAGGGGUGCGUCACUUGAGUGGGUUGAGUCAUUGACGUGAUCUCCUGUCUGGGUUGGCGCCCCCCAUUGGGUUGUGCCGUGGCGGCCUUGUCUCAGCCUUGUCUCAGGAUGGUAAGUUGGUGGUUGAAGAUAUCCCUAUAGUGGUGUGGGGGCUGUGCUUUGGCAAAGUGGGUGGGGUUAUAUCCUGCCUGUUUGGCCCUGUCCGGGGGUAUUGUCGGGGGGCUAGGGCCAGUCUGUUAUAUCUGGAGUAUUUCUCCUGUCUUAUCCUGUCUUAUCCUAUCCUGUGUGAAUUUAAGUAUGCUCUCUCUAACUCUCUCUCUCUUUCUCUCUUUCUUUCUUUCUUUCUUUCUCUCACUCGGAGGACCUGAGCCCUAGGACCAUGCCUCAGGACUAUCUGGCCUGAUGACUCCUUGCUGUCCCCAGUCCACCUGGCCGUGCUGCUGCUCCAGUUUCAACUGUUCUGCCUGCGGCUAUGGAAUCCUGACCUUUUCACCGGACGUGCUACCUGUCCCAGACCUGCUGUUUACAACUCUCUAGAGACAGCAGGAGCGGUAGAGAUACUCUCAAUGAUCGGCUAUGAAAAGCCAACUGACAUUUACUCCUGAGGUGCUGACCUGUUGCACCCUCGGCAUCCACUGUUAUUAUUAUUAUUUGACCCUGCUGGUCACCUAUGAACAUUUGAACAUCUUGGCCAUGUUCUGUUAAUCUCCCCCCGGCACAGCCAGAAGAGGACUGGCCACAACUCGUAGCCUGGUUAUUCUCUAGGUUUCUUCCUAGGUUCUGGCCUUUCUAGGGAGUUUUUCCUAGCCACCGUGCUUCUACACCUGCAUUGCUUGCUGUUUGGGGUUUAGGCUGGGUUUCUGUACAGCACUUUGAGAUAUCAGCUGAUGUAAGAAGGGCUUUAUAAAUAAAUGUGAUUGAUUGAUAAUGACAAAGCAAAAACAGGUUUUUAGACAUUUUUGCAAAUUUAUAAAAAAUCUAAAACAGAAAUACCUUAUUUAAAUAAGUAUUCAGACCCUUUGCUAUGAGACUUGAAAUUGAACUCAGCUGCAUCUCUGAUGUUGCACCUAUCCUGGGAUUGUGUAUGACUUAGAUGCUCACUCUCCUCUGUGAGCUCGUCUAGGCGUGUGAUCAAGGACAUGGGUUUUACUUGAGAUAGGGGUAUCUGGAGUUGACAGUUGAUUUAUGCCAUAGAAUGAGUUGGUGUUUAUGUACUAUGAAGUACCAGGGACGUGAUCUGAGCCUUGUCUUAGGGGCCAAACUCUGUACAAUAAGAACAGUCUUCAUAGCAAAUGCUAUCUGGCUGGGGGAUACUCCUUUCUCAAUUAUCAAGUCUCACCUUCGGACCCAUUCCACACAUCUGUUGUUUGCUAUGUAGACUAAGGGGGUGUAUCUUUGCUAUAAAAAGGUCUUUGUAUCCUUUGUGUCGGGGCUCUCAACGAAUCAUCUGAGGGUGGUUCGUCGACCAGCCAUCGCUAUUGCAGAGCUCUCACUAAUAAAGAUUCAGUUUAAGUAUAACUCUGACUUGUGUGAUAAGUUUGUCUCUCCUCAUUGAUAACACAGAAAUUAACCACUACGGUGGCCUCCAUCAUUCUUAAAUGGAAGAAGUUUGGAACCACCAAGAGGCAAACUAGAACUGGCCGCCUGGCCAAAUUGAGCAAUCAGGGCAGAAGGGACUUGGUCAGGGAGGUGACCAAGAACCUGAUGGUCACUCUGACAGAGCUCCAGAGUUUGUCUGUGGAGAUGGGAGAACAUUCCAGAAGGACAACCAUCUCUGCAGCACUCCACCAAGCGUGCUGGUGGCAGCAUCAUGCUGUGGGGAUGUUUUUA